rnacentral:rRNA from 1 species
AACGAACGCUGGCGGCGCGCUUAACACAUGCAAGUCGAACGAGAAGGCGUAGCAAUACGCUUGUAAAGUGGCGAACGGGUGAGGAAUACAUGGGUAACCUACCCUCGAGUGGGGGAUAACCCGCCGAAAGGCGGGCUAAUACCGCGUACGCUUCCGAUCUUGUGGGAUCGGAAGGAAAGCUGUCCCUUGGGGAUGGCGCUCAAGGAUGGGCUCAUGUCCUAUCAGCUUGUUGGUAGGGAACGGCCUACCAAGGCAUCGACGGGUAGCUGGUCUGAGAGGACGAUCAGCCACACUGGCACUGCGACACGGGCCAGACUCCUACGGGAGGCAGCAGUGAGGAAUAUUGCGCAAUGGGCGAAAGCCUGACGCAGCGACGCCGC